AGAAUCGAAACCUAACACGCGGAGGAAAAGUAAAAUCACGCUUAACUUUUCUUCCUACACAUCCUUUCCCGUCUCCAUCUCCAACUUCCUGCAAUUCCAACCAUCGGUCCUCCAGCCUCUCCCCCACCACUCCUUCAUUCUUCCUCUCUCCCAUCGACUUUCCUUCUUCCUCUCUCAUAUGCAUGUUCACGUUGCUCCUCUGUUUCAUCUAACGUUUUGCAAUUUAAUUUGUUUGUAUUCCUAAUUUUUUUUGUUGCAAUUUAUUUGCUCGUAUUCCCGAUUUAUUUGUUUAUGUUCCCAAUUUUUUCAUGGUCAAAGCCUCCAGUGUUCCCAAUUUUUAUUUUGUUCUCACUUUUUUUCCUCAUGUCUCUGCCUCUUUGUCACUCAAUUUUUCUAGGUUUUUAAUACACCCUUUGUUUGUUUUAAUAUUGCUCUGUUUUUUUAACAAAUCUUCGUUAGAAUUGAUCAAUGUCCUAUUAUGUACUUUAUUUUAACGAUGUGGUAUAUGAUGGAAUUCUGGGCAAAUAUUACCUUUGAAUAGCUUGGACUUGGGAUAGUAAUUAGCAAAUUAUUGAUGCGGAGAGAAUGAAAGCUGGUAUGGUUGCAGAUUGCACUAGUUUAACACAAGAAUCUUGGUUUACAUAAUGGUGUGUUAAUAAGCUGGUAUCCUAGUUUUUAUCAUGUGUGCG
rnacentral:lncRNA from 1 species